rnacentral:misc_RNA from 1 species
GAUGAAGAAUGCAGCGAAAUGCGAUACGUCAUGUGAAUUGCAGAAUUCAGUGAAUCAUCGAGUCUUUGAACGCACAUUGCGCCCCCUGGUAUUCCGGGGGGCAUGCCUGUCCGAUCAUCAUUGCUGCCCUCAAGCACGGCUUGUGUGUUGGGCCUCCGUCCUCCUCCCGGGGGACGGGCCCGAAAGGCAGCGGCGGCACCGCGUCCGGUCCUCGAGCGUAUGGGGCUUCGUCACCCGCUCUUGUAGGCCCGGCCGGCGCUUGCCGACACAUCAAUCUUUUUUCCAGGUUGACCUCGGAUCAGGUAGGGAUACCCGCUGAACUUAAGCAUAUCAAUAAGCGGAGGA